ACAGCCGUAAACAUUAAUGGGUUUAAAACAAGCCCGUUCGCCAGAGAACUACUAGCCACAGCUUAAAACUCAAAGGACUUGGCGGUGCUUUAUAUCCAUCUAGAGGAGCCUGUUCUGUAAUCGAUAAACCCCGCUAUACCUCACCACUUCUUGCUGAUUCAGUCUAUAUACCGCCAUCUUCAGCAAACCCUAAAAAGGCUGACUAGUAAGCCCAAUGAUAUUACAUAAAAAAGUUAGGUCAAGGUGUAACCUAUGAAGUGGCAUGAAAUGGGCUACAUUUUCUAUACAAGAACAAUACGAAACCCUGUAUGAAACUGACAGGAUAAAGGAGGAUUUAGUAGUAAACUAAAAAUAGAGUGUUUAGUUGAAUGGAGCAAUGAAGCACG
rnacentral:rRNA from 1 species